rnacentral:rRNA from 1 species
AAUCAACGCUGGCGGCGUGCCUCAGACAUGCAAGUCGAACGAUUAAAGCUCUCUUCGGAGAGUGUAUAGAGUGGCGCACGGGUGAGUAACACGUAAGUAAUCUACCCUCGAGUGGGGAAUAACAACCGGAAACGGUUGCUAAUACCGCAUAAUGACAGCGGCACCGCAAGGUUGACAGUUGUUAAAGAUUUAUCGCUUGAGGAGGAGCUUGCGGCAGAUUAGCUAGUUGGUAGGGUAACGGCUUACCAAGGCUACGAUCUGUAACCGGUCUAAGAGGACGGUCGGUCACACUGACACUGAAUAACGGGUCAGACUCCUACGGGAGGCAGCAGUCGGGAAUUUUGGGCAAUGGGCGAAAGCCUGACCCAGCAACGCCGCGUGAAGGAUGAAGUAUUUCGGUAUGUAAACUUCGAAAGAAUAGGAAGAAUUAAUGACGGUACUAUUUAUAAGGUCCGGCUAACUACGUGCCAGCCAGCCGCGGUAAAGUAUCGUACG